ensembl:lncRNA
GAAACUCAGUUGCCAAGCUGGGCCUGCAGCCAUGGAGAGGAGAGGAGGAGGGGAAAGCAACAGGGAUCUAUAGUGGAGAGAGAGGAAGCAAUUCAAAGAAGGCUGCACAGAAUGGUUUCCUGAACAGCUGAGCAGAUGGAAGACCUGAUUCUUCAGUUUUGAGAAAGUCAGAUUCUGCUUCUCCUGACUCUUGCUCUGUUGCACUUCUAAUUUCUGAGUCAGCUUAGACUGAGCUGAGUGUGAAUCAGGAGACCAACUUCUGCAUCCUAAGGGAGCUUGACUUGGCUUCCAAGGAGUUCAUCUUCGACGCUUAUGACUCUGAGUCCCGAAAAUGAGCCAACGAGGCAAUCUUUCUUCCUCCUGGAUUUGACUGGCACGAGACUGUUUCUAAGACACAGAGGAGCAAGGAUUUGGGGAAGAUGGCCACCUGACGGCAGCUUUUUUCUCCUUGGAUCCCAGCUCCCAAUUCCUCACUUUCAGAGCUGGGAGAGAAGGAGAUGAGGGCUGAGUGCAGGCUUUCAUCCUCCAGACCAAUGCUGACCUGGAGCUGCUCCGGCAUAUAGGAAAGAAAGGCUGGGAUCCUGGGAAAAAAAAUGCUCAUUCUGAGAUCCGUGGCCACAUCUGCUGGAGAGCGCCCAAUGUUUCUGGUUCCUUUGAGGCCAGGUGGGAGCUGGGUCUGGAGCUGUGGCCUCGCCCACCCGGAAGUGGCAGCGUAGGAGGACUUGAUUUGUGUCAGAGAAUGGAGACCUCUCUUGGAGCUUUCAUCAGUGACAGAGAAUCUGUUGGUUUCUAAGCUGCUACUUCCUUGGGGGCACAAAAUGUUUUCCCACCAUCUGUGUGACUGGCACCAAAUGGGGGACCCCAAUGAGCAGGUCUGAGCAUGAGCAAGCAGACAAGGGAAAUGGAAGCACAGCGAAGAGAUUCUGGUGCCUAGAGAAGAAGGAGACACUAAGAGGACUCAUCCCAUCACGUGGGAGCCUGCCAGACACAGCAGUGGCAGACUGAGCCAGAACUACAGAAGCCUGCUGGGGGGAUUCUCGAGCACUUCACCACGGAGCCAGCUCAGGAUCUUCCAGUUAAACAGUUUUGCAAAUGAAUCCAGGGAGGGGAUGAGUCCUGAGAAGACAAAUUAGGGGGUAGCUGAGGUCCCAGAGCAAAGAAAUAUAAUGGAAAAAAGCUACAAGGGGAAAGAAAAGUUUAUGAGAGGGACCUCAAAGACUUACUAUGUGAAAAACACAAGGUGCAGAAAUUGAAAAAGAAAGCCAGGUGUGGUGACACAUGCAUGUAAUUCCAGCAUUCUGGGAGGCUGAGGCAGGAGGAUUGCAAGUUUGAGCCCAGCCUGGGUGAUUUAGUGACUAAGUGAGACUCUGUUUAAAAAUUAAAAAUAAAAAAGGCUGGGGAUGUAGCUUAGUGAAAAAGCCCCAUAUUUAAAAAAAAGAUUUUUAAAAAAGAGUUUAUUAAUUCCUUAACAAGUAAUGGGUCCAGGUGAAAGUGACUGAAGGCCAAGGACAGGGCAGGUGUAAGAUGAUGUGACUACAUUAUGAUCUUUCAGGUAGAAAGCACGGGUUACCUACAAUAGAGAAGAAAAAACCAGACUUCCCUUUUGUAACACUGGAGACUGGAAGACAGCGGGGUAGCAUCGACAGAUUGCAGAGUGAAAGGCAGUUAUGCAAAGAGCCAAUGUAAACCUAUAUGGACCUCAUUAGUUGCUAAGGCACAAUUGAAACAAUCUUUGAUAUUUAAAAAUAUAAAGAGCCCUUAUGGAAAUGGUAGGAGACCUGAGGUUGGAGAAGUGAUUAAGAUGAAACAUGUAUGUGUACCACUUCGCCAAGAGGAAUGUAAGUAUUAUGUAUCACAAACAUAUUCAAAUAAAAUUUAAUAAGAUUUAGAGAGCUCCCAUUCCCAAUGUCAGCAAGAUUUAAGAAUCAAGACUAAACUCUAACAAAAUAGCAAGGAGUCAUGAAUACAGACUUUAAAUGAGUAAGGCAAAAAGAAGAAAGCAGUAUUGACUGGGGAAUCUUUCUAGGUGCUAAGAAAUGAGUGGGCAAUGUAAGAAAGCACAAAGUAUAGGAACAUUGCAAGAGCAAUAAAGGGAAUUAUAAUAAAAGUCUUAAGUAUAAAAACUCUAGACAAUUGAAGAAAGAAUCUCAGAAUUUGGGGCAAAGAAGGGCAAGAGGAAAACAAUGUAAAGUUUCAUCUUCCAGUGAGGUGAGAGGGAAGGGUAAUGGAAGUGAGGGUAUUCUAAAGACAGCUUAAAGAUCUAAUUUAAUUGGCUAUGAUAAAGGAAAGGGCAAAAUACAGCAUCUUGGUGGAAGUAAUUUUGGAGUACCUUGGGGAUUGAGUCCAAGGUCUUUGCACUGAACUACGUUACCGGGCUGUAGAGGACUGAUUAAUGGUCAACUUGUAACACCCAGCUGAAUUGAAUCACCGUGGUCUGGGCAUGGAGGAUCCACCUGAGGAUUAUUACCAAUAGCCAUAAAAAGAGAACAGGAGGGGCAGAUGGUGGCCUGUUGAUUUUCUAGGAGAAGCUUGCUUCGGAUGGUUUUCCUGAUGCAAAUCAGGCUGUUCUCGUCAGAGGAGGAGCUCGGGGCCUUGCUGUUGCUCAAAAUGGAUGCUGUUUUCGUCAGGGGAGAUCGGAUCUUCACCAUGAGCAUCACUUCCUGGCUCCAAUGUGGAUCCCUCAGAGUGGUGGCACAAAUCCUUCAUCUCACCGGCAUAGAUUUUUCUGGCUUCCACCACUGACCUUUGGGCCUUCCCAGUGCAGAUCCUCAAUAGGGAAAAGCAUGAGACAUUGCUGUGGGCUCUAGGCCACUGGCUGGACUCAAGGAGGACAUUGCCUUGGACUCUAAGCCUUUAGCUGAACUUGUGUGGGAUGCUGCUGGGAUCCAGACCCUUGGCUGGAUUCUGUGGGCUUCUAGUGUGUGGUUAAUCUCUUGCACUCCUUUGCAUUUGACUUUUUUGAGUAAUUAUCAUAAAAUAAUCUUAGAAAUUAUGUGUCAUGUACUUAAUGUAUUCCCUUGCCAAACCCUGACUACAACACAGGCUUUUUUAUAUUUUGAGACAAAGUCUUCCUAAGUUGAUAAAUUGCCUAAGCUGGGCUCAAACUUCGGAUCUUUCUGUCUUAGUUUCCCAGAGUGCUAGGACUACAGGCAUGUGCCACCAAACCUGACUAAAAGUUUUAUUUUAAGUGCAGAAUAAAAAAGGUAACCAUUAAAGGGAAAGGGCAAGUAUAUUAAAAAUUUCAAAUUUACAAGGUGAAGUGAAAUGUUCAUCAAGUUAUUUAAAUCAAAAAAAAUUAGCAAAAUAGAAAAGUGGAAAUUCUUAAAAUAAAUAUCAUAGAGUAAUAUGGAAGGCAUAAAGUGACUUAAAUAUGAUUAAGUACAAUUAUUCCAUCAAAUACAGACUGUCAAGUUGACUUUUUUUUUUUUUUUGUACCAGGGAUUGAACUCUGGAGCUCGCACUUGCGAGGCAGGUGACAGAAACACUGAGCUAAAUCCUCAGCCUCAUGUCAAGUUGACUUUUAAAAAUUUAUUUAUGUAUGUGUAAGAAAGGCAUUUGACUGUUAAAAGUUGAACAUAGGGAGAUGUGUAAUAAAUUAUGAGACAAAGACAAGCAGGAGAUCAGUUACAAGUGUUACUACUACUGUCAGGAAAAGGAGCAUGUACAAGUACCAUACAUAGAAACGGAUCAUAAGGUAUACAGUUUUGUGGAAAUUUACGACCCAGAUUUGUGUUCUCUUUGGAUCUGGGUGCUUCUGCAGUAUCUGGAAGUUUUCAUUUUGAAAUGGGCCCUAGGGGUCUAGAUGCUUUAAAUAUGUUGGGUUUUUUUUUUGGUGCCGGGGAUCGAACUCCGAUCCUUGUGCUUGCAGGGCAGGUGGCGGAACCACUGAGCUAAAUAUCCAGCCCACUUUAAAUAUGUUGGAAUCUGGUUUGGGGGUUGCAAAAGAAAAGAUACAAAGAUCAGCUGGCUCUGUUGGCUCUUUGAAUGGCCCAGCUGACUAAAGAAGCACCGUGUGUGUCCAAGUUCACUCAGAGAUCCAGACCCUGGCCAUUUGUUGGAUGGGAUCUACUCUAGUGGCACCUUGGUAUCUUAUUAUUUUACUUCUUAUGGUGUUCUAGUUUGGGCUGGUGUUGCCAGGGUGGUAGAACAUUUCACUGACAUACUCUUUUUCAGAUGAAAAUGCCGAAAAGUUAUGUGCUUAUAAAUUAAUGGGUUUAUAAGAAUAUUCCUUAGGCAUGCAUGGUGCACUUGCCUAUAAUCCCAGCACUCAGAAGGCUGAGACAGGAGGCUCAUUGUGAGUUCAAGGCCAGCCUGGGCUACAUAAUGAGGCCCUGUCUCAACAAACAAACAAAAACAAAGAUAUUUAAUGAUAUUCUUCUAAUCUUUGACCCAGCAAUUCUUUUAGGAAUUUAUUCUUUGAAAAUAAUAAAAGUGUACACAAGUUAUUCACUAGAGUUUUAUACAUGAAUGUAAAUAUUGGAUAGUAGCCAAAAUUUCCAGUAAAAGAAUAUUGACUAAAUAAACUGUGUAUGUUUUACAAUGAAAUACUAUGCAAUUAUUAGAGUAAUAUAAAUAAGUGCCUCGUAAUGUUAAGAGAAAUAAAGCAGACACAUAACCUUAAGCAUCACAUAGUUUCUCAUUCUGGGUGGUCCGGAUGACACUGGCUUUGCUCAGUCUCCUUGGCAAGUCACUGUAUCCCUGAGCUCAGGGUGAGAAAGGGAGAUGUCUGGGUUCGGG